CGCUGGCGGCAGGCCUAACACAUGCAAGUCGAACGGUAACAGGAAGCAGCUUGCUGCUUUGCUGACGAGUGGCGGACGGGUGAGUAAUGUCUGGGAAACUGCCUGAUGGAGGGGGAUAACUACUGGAAACGGUGGCUAAUACCGCAUAACGUCGCAAGACCAAAGAGGGGGACCUUCGGGCCUCUUGCCAUCAGAUGUGCCCAGAUGGGAUUAGCUUGUUGGUGAGGUAACGGCUCACCAAGGCGACGAUCCCUAGCUGGUCUGAGAGGAUGACCAGCCACACUGGAACUGAGACACGGUCCAGACUCCUACGGGAGGCAGCAGUGGGGAAUAUUGCACAAUGGGCGCAAGCCUGAUGCAGCCAUGCCGCGUGUAUGAAGAAGGCCUUCGGGUUGUAAAGUACUUUCAGCGGGGAGGAAGGUGUUGUGGUUAAUAACCGCAGCAAUUGACGUUACCCGCAGAAGAAGCACCGGCUAACUCC
rnacentral:rRNA from 1 species